rnacentral:rRNA from 1 species
AUUGAACGCUGGCGGCAGGCCUAACACAUGCAAGUCGAGCGGUAGCACAGAGAGCUUGCUCUCGGGUGACGAGCGGCGGACGGGUGAGUAAUGUCUGGGAAACUGCCUGAUGGAGGGGGAUAACUACUGGAAACGGUAGCUAAUACCGCAUAACGUCGCAAGACCAAAGUGGGGGACCUUCGGGCCUCAUGCCAUCAGAUGUGCCCAGAUGGGAUUAGCUAGUAGGUGGGGUAACGGCUCACCUAGGCGACGAUCCCUAGCUGGUCUGAGAGGAUGACCAGCCACACUGGAACUGAGACACGGUCCAGACUCCUACGGGAGGCAGCAGUGGGGAAUAUUGCACAAUGGGCGCAAGCCUGAUGCAGCCAUGCCGCGUGUGUGAAGAAGGCCUUCGGGUUGUAAAGCACUUUCAGCGGGGAGGAAGGCGAUAAGGUUAAUAACCUUGUCGAUUGACGUUACCCGCAGAAGAAGCACCGGCUAACUCCGUGCCAGCAGCCGCGGUAAUACGGAGGGUGCAAGCGUUAAUCGGAAUUACUGGGCGUAAAGCGCACGCAGGCGGUCUGUCAAGUCGGAUGUGAAAUCCCCGGGCUCAACCUGGGAACUGCAUUCGAAACUGGCAGGCUAGAGUCUUGUAGAGGGGGGUAGAAUUCCAGGUGUAGCGGUGAAAUGCGUAGAGAUCUGGAGGAAUACCGGUGGCGAAGGCGGCCCCCUGGACAAAGACUGACGCUCAGGUGCGAAAGCGUGGGGAGCAAACAGGAUUAGAUACCCUGGUAGUCCACGCCGUAAACGAUGUCGAUUUGGAGGUUGUGCCCUUGAGGCGUGGCUUCCGGAGCUAACGCGUUAAAUCGACCGCCUGGGGAGUACGGCCGCAAGGUUAAAACUCAAAUGAAUUGACGGGGGCCCGCACAAGCGGUGGAGCAUGUGGUUUAAUUCGAUGCAACGCGAAGAACCUUACCUGGUCUUGACAUCCACAGAACUUUCCAGAGAUGGAUUGGUGCCUUCGGGAACUGUGAGACAGGUGCUGCAUGGCUGUCGUCAGCUCGUGUUGUGAAAUGUUGGGUUAAGUCCCGCAACGAGCGCAACCCUUAUCCUUUGUUGCCAGCGGUUCGGCCGGGAACUCAAAGGAGACUGCCAGUGAUAAACUGGAGGAAGGUGGGGAUGACGUCAAGUCAUCAUGGCCCUUACGACCAGGGCUACACACGUGCUACAAUGGCAUAUACAAAGAGAAGCGACCUCGCGAGAGCAAGCGGACCUCAUAAAGUAUGUCGUAGUCCGGAUUGGAGUCUGCAACUCGACUCCAUGAAGUCGGAAUCGCUAGUAAUCGUAGAUCAGAAUGCUACGGUGGAUACGUUCCCGGGCCUUGUACACACCGCCCGUCACACCAUGGGAGUGGGUUGCAAAAGAAGUAGGUAGCUUAACCUUCGGGAGGGCGCUUACCACUUUGUGAUUCAUGACUGGGGUGA